CCUACGGGUGGCAGCAGUGGGGAAUAUUGCACAAUGGGGGAAACCCUGAUGCAGCGACGCCGCGUGAGUGAAGAAGUAAUUCGUUACGUAAAGCUCCAUCAGCAGGGAAGAAAAUGACGGUACCUGAGUCAGAAGCACCGGCUAACUACGUGCAAGCAGCCGCGGGAAUACGUAGGUGGCAAGCGUUAUCCGGAUAUACUGGGUGUAAAGGGAGCGUAGGCGGUGCGCCAAGUCUGGAGUGAAAUGCCGCGGCUUAACUGCGGAACUGCUUUGGAUACUGGCGAACUAGAGUGCGGGAGGGGUAAGCGGAAUUCCUGGUGUAGCGGUGAAAUGCUUAGAUAUUAGGAAGAACACCGGUGGCGAAGGCGGCUUACUGGACCGUAUCUGACGUUGAGGCACGAAAGCGUGGGGAGCAAACAGGAUUAGAUACCCGAGUAGUC
rnacentral:rRNA from 1 species